rnacentral:tRNA from 1 species
GGGGGUAUAGCUCAGGGGUAGAGCAUUUGACUGCAGAUCAAGAGGUCCCUGGUUCAAAUCGUCCUCA